CCAGGGCCGGGACGUUCAGGGAGAGGGGUGGGGAGGUGGCGAUACAGGACGUGCAAACUCCGGUGUGGAAGGAUUGGGUUCAGUCCCGUGGGGCCGCAGAAUGUGGGUGGGGGCCCGCAGGACCCUGUAACCCGAUGCUGGGAGUGUGCGAGAAUGGGUGGUCAGACAUCUGCUCAGAAAUUGCUUCCUUUCUUUCUACUUUCAGUUUUUCUACGAGGAGACAUUUAAAAACGUCUCGCACACGCGAAUGAUCUUUUAGGGGGUGAAGGAGUCUUGGUGUGAAAAGCAGUGCUCCCUCCGAGUGGAGGACCUCCCUGGUGGAAGUCGGGGGAAGGAAGACAAGCCAUCUGGACUUUGCGGAGGUAGCGGAGGUGGGGCGGAUCCAUUCCCCCUUCGGCUGGAGGCCAGGUCUCGUCGGCAGCCGGCCACCCCCCCCCCCCACCUCUGCACAACAAAGCUCUCGGAGGAGAGAGCACCCUAAAUUCCCUUCCCAGUCAGUCGAUCUCGGACCUGGGGAACCUCCCUCCCCCACUGCCGCGGCAGCCUAGCCCGACAUUCGCCCUGCCGGCCGAAGGACGAAUUCCCGGGACCUCUCGCAGUUACCUGCCCCACAACCCCGGCCCGCUCACCGUCUGCCAGGAAUUAAAGAAACGAGGCGCGGCGCGACCCCCACCGUGUGCGGGCGGAGUAACCGUAGCGAGGACAGAGCCGCACACUCCUUUCACGGCUUUCCUCCACAGCCCAGCGAAGAGCCCCCGGAGCCCGCCCGGGGGUCCAAGCCAGGUCUAGGGCCACACAGGUAGCAGGGGACCAGCCGCCAAGCGCCCGGCCCGCCCCCGCCCUCGCCCGCCAAGUCCUG
rnacentral:lncRNA from 1 species